GGGAGCAUAGCUCAGCCGGGAGAGCGCCUGCCUUACAAGCAGGAGGUCACAGGUUCGAUCCCUGUUGCUCCCACCA
rnacentral:tRNA from 1 species